CUACGAACGCCUCGGGGAGCAUCCGCCGGGGCCGGCCGCGCUGCUCCUGGUGCUCCUGAUGAGCUGCAUCAGCUCAUCCCAGCCCACCACCACGGAUGGAGAGCCAUGAGGUGCCCGGAAAGAGGCGGCCUGAGCCCCAGAUGCUCCGGCUGGAGGUCGCCACCAGUGUCGGGCGCGGUGGCCGCAGGCAGCGGGGUGACCUCGGCCUGUGGGCACCGCCGGGCUGCGCGCACGGAGGCUGAGGGAGAGCGGAGCGUGGUGCUGCAGCGUCGGAAUCUGAGACCAUGUCGGAGCUGAGAGCAUCCAGCCGGGACGGCUCAAGGCCCAGGGAAAUCAGGCAGCUGCCCAAAGCAGCCAGGGCCUCCCUGCCUGUGCUGGAGUGCUGCAACACCCCUGGGCUCCUGCCACUGAGGGAGGGCUGGGAAUGAGCAUCCAUCACUUCCUGCACCAGCAGCCACCAGGGCAGCACACAAAGAUCUUCUCCCACUCCCCUUCCUCAUCCUGACUCUCCUCCUGAAGACCACCAGGCAUAGAUUGAGAAGCUCUGAGCUGGAUUUGUCCCUUGCCACACUGAUUAGACUGAAAGGUCUCAUGCCACAUGGUGGAUUUUUGGGGUUUUCUCCCAAGUCCAUGUUCUUCAUCCUCCAUCCAUAGGUCAUUUCUGGAUGUAAAGCAUAGAGUGUGUUUGUGAUGAUCAAGGCUAAAAUCUCUCCCAUAUCACACAGGCUGAGCCCAGGGUUGGACCCUAUUCUUGACUGGGUACAGCUGGGUUAGACAGAGCUUGGCUGAGCUGGUCCAAGACCUUGUCCAGCCCCUGCUUCUGGCUGUGCACAGGAGCAGGCACAGGUGAGGCUUUGUUGGUCCCCUGGGCUCAAGGUGAUACUGGACUGAGCACCUGCAGCUUUGUAGUCACUGGGAUGCUCUUCUUGGUUGCCUCAUCCCUGGGUUUCUGUGGAAAUUCCACUAACAUCACCCAGGACCUGCAGAGGAUGACACUUGCUGGGGUUUAUCCACUGAGGUCUCCACUUUUUCUACAUAGACUAUCUCAAUCCAAAUGACCAAAGCGUUCCCCAAAACUGGAUUUGUUUCCAUAAUUGCCUUCACCUUCUUGCCACCACAUUUCCCCAGCAGGACACAGAUGAUUCUCCCAGCCCUGGGCUGCCCAGCAGAGUCGUCUCUGCCCAGGCCUCAAAACCAAACACUUCUGCUCCAAAUUCCAUUCGAGGUGGUGAUGCCUCCUACAAAGCAGAGUUUUAUCUGCUGAGGACCAGCAUUGGUGCCUGAAGUCUGGAAUGGGUGCAACAUAUUCAUGGAAACAGUCUGUCCCAGCCUGUAUCAAGCCAAAGGUAGAAAACACAGGAGCAUGGCUUUGCCUCAUUUUGUGUUUUUAAAAUCAAAAUAUGUACAAGCAGAAUUGCUUUUACCCACCAGGGAAGCUCUGCAUGACAUCUGUUACCUUCUGUAUACGUGCAAUGCCUGUCUCUCAUCUCCUGCUGGUCACUAAAGAACUUGAGCCUGUUACUCCCACAUGUCCAAAAGGAGAUUCAGCAUUUGCAUCUCAUUGCAGGUGUCACACUUUGUUAACAUCUAAUGUUUCAUGCUUCUCAUGCAAUGGGUGACAAGAUGACUUCAAAUGCUAAUAACAUAAACAAGCACGAUUUAAAAAUGCUAAUAAAACAAAUAAAAAAGGUCCUUUAUGUUCCUCAAAUAAUAAUAAUAAUAAUAAUAAUAAUAAUAAUAAUAAUAAUAAUAAUAAUAAUAAUAGUUCUGUUUUAAUGAAAGGUGGAAUCUCUUGCUCCUGAGAGGAAAGAUUGCUAGCUGGAAUAAAGAGUGUUCAGCCC